rnacentral:rRNA from 1 species
GACGAACGCUGGCGGCGUGCUUAACACAUGCAAGUCGAACGGAAAGGCCCUGCUUUUGUGGGGUGCUCGAGUGGCGAACGGGUGAGUAACACGUGAGUAACCUGCCCUUGACUUUGGGAUAACUUCAGGAAACUGGGGCUAAUACCGGAUAGGAGCUCCUGCUGCAUGGUGGGGGUUGGAAAGUUUCGGCGGUUGGGGAUGGACUCGCGGCUUAUCAGCUUGUUGGUGGGGUAGUGGCUUACCAAGGCUUUGACGGGUAGCCGGCCUGAGAGGGUUACCGGCCACAUUGGGACUGAGAUACGGCCCAGACUCCUACGGGAGGCAGCAGUGGGGAAUAUUGCACAAUGGGCGGAAGCCUGAUGCAGCAACGCCGCGUGCGGGAUGACGGCCUUCGGGUUGUAAACCGCUUUCGCCUGUGACGAAGAGUGAGUGACGGUAAUGGGUAAAGAAGCACCGGCUAACUACGUG